GCGGGUGUAGUUUAGUGGUAAAACCCGAGCCUUCCAAGCUCACGUCGAGGGUUCGAUUCCCUCUACCCGCU